GCACAGCGAUGAUGAAUGGUGCAGUAACACAGGCUUAUAUAUAAGUGUGGAUGUAUAAUUUGCUAUAUGAUCUUAUGUACACAUAGUAACUCUUUACAAUUUGUAUUAUUCCUAUUAGAUCCGUUGUCCAUUCCGUUUUGCAGAGUGAAUUAUUCCUUGCAUGAACCAUAUAGCAUCUAACGCACGGAUUAUAGUUCUAUCUACCAUAUUACCAUAACUACUACUAAAUCCCCUCCUCCUCCUCUUUUAGUAUUAGUAGUAUCUGCGUUUUGAAUGCAUGUUUUCCUAUUCCUAUUUUCCUCAAAUGUAUUAGUCUAACAUCAAUCUUUCCUUCAGGUACCAACCGAACGGCUGCUCUUCCAUCUGGGAUCCGAGCGUAACAGACUUCAGCUUGGUGUCGUCAUUGCAUAUCAACGUCGAAAUAUAUUACGAAAAGCUUCAAGGAUACGCUUAAGCAUUUAGAUUAAAAGAAAGGUUCAAUUACGAGAAAAUUGUUUGAAAUUCUAACGACUCAACAUUUUAUCUUGGCUCCACCUUUUGCUCGUAAUAAUAGCAAUAAGCUUAUUUUACUAAUUUUUAGCACCUUACAUUUUAGUCCAUCUCUGACGGAGCGCUGCCACAUCACUGAAAAUCGUUUCCAAAAGCUGAAGAGUGAGCUUUUUCAAAUUGAAAAAUGCCUCAAAGCAAACCUGAAUUGUAAAGCACAGCAUACUUUUGGAGUUAAAAAAAACCUAGAUGCCUUCCACUAAUGCAAGAUCUCGUAGAAAGAACACUUUGGGGAAUGUCCGACAAGAUAAGAUCCCAGGCUCUUCGGCUCUGGCGUUCGGCUAUCGUCGCGUCGUCAUGAGCUCGCCAUUAUGCCCAUUCAUACGCCGCCGAAUCAAACGAUGGGCUACAGUUUCCAAAAGCAUAAGUGAAUUGGUAUACAAUCAAAUCUUCGCAAGGCUAUAUCUCAGACAUAUAGGACCAGAUCGGUGGCGAACCUACUCUCCCAGGAUCGUGAGGAUCCAGACUGUCGAUCGGCAUAAAAAUCUAGACCUUGAAAAUGAGGCCGAUUUUUGGCAAUUUUAAUGAUGUAACCAUCAUGAUGUCCUUUUUUCCGAUGACAGUCGAUUGGCAGGACUCGACCCAUCCCGAAAAGACAUGCCGCACGCCGAUCGGCCGCUGUAUUGCAGAGAUAUAGCGUGCAGAAGAGACCAGUAUUUCAAAGAUACGCAAAUCCAACUCUUCGCAAGGCUAUAUUUCAGGCAAAUAGGGCCAGAUCGGGGGAGGACCUACUCUCCCAGGAUCGGGAGGAUCCAGACUGUCGAUCGGCAU